rnacentral:misc_RNA from 1 species
GAUGAAGAACGUAGCGAAAUGCGAUACGUAAUGUGAAUUGCAGAAUUCAGUGAAUCAUCGAGUCUUUGAACGCACAUUGCGCCCCCUGGUAUUCCGGGGGGCAUGCCUGUCCGAGCGUCAUUACUGCCCUCAAGCACGGCUUGUGUGUUGGGCCUCCGUCCUCCUCCCGGGGGACGGGCCCGAAAGGCAGCGGCGGCACCGCGUCCGGUCCUCGAGCGUAUGGGGCUUCGUCACCCGCUCUUGUAGGCCCGGCCGGCGCUUGCCGACACAUCAAUCUUUUUUCCAGGUUGACCUCGGAUCAGGUAGGAAUACCCGCUGAACUUAAGCAUAUCAAUAAGCGGAGGA